UGCCUUGUGGUGUAAUGGCAACAUUUCUGAAUUUGGAUCAGAAGUUCUAGGUUCGAGUCCUAGCGAGGCAGCCA
rnacentral:tRNA from 4 species